GUUUCCCUCUGGGCACCUGGCUGCGGGAGCCUCCGGCGCCCCCCCCUCCCCGCCCCGCCUGCAGGCUCGCGGGCUUCCGUGUGCCCGGCUCGGGCUGGGCUGGGGCUCGGCCGCCGCGUCCGCAGACAGCCCUUGACCACCAAGGCCAGCCUCUUCCUGAAAGCCCCGCUCGCCCCGAUACAGGAAGUGGAAGCGAGCGAGGCCCGGGGCGCGGCGGCGGCUCCCACUCGGCGGCGGGGCGGCCCUUGCGAGGGCCCGGCGGGGCCAUGCGGGCGCCCGGGACACGGCGGCCCGCGCCGCCCGCCGCCUGAGCCCCCGAGCAGCGGCCGGAGCCCCCGAGCAGCGGUGCGAGCCCCCGAGCAGCGGUGCGAGCCCCGGAGCAGCGGCCCGAGCCCCCCAGCAGCGGCCGGAGCCCCCGAGCAGCGGCGCGAGCCCCCGAGCAGCGGCCGGAGCCCCCGAGCAGCGGUGCGAGCCCCGGAGCAGCGGCCCGAGCCCCCCGAGCAGCCGCCUGAGCCCCCGAGCAGCGGUGCGAGCCCCCCAGCAGCGGCCCGAGCCCCCCAGCAGCGGCCGGAGCCCCCGAGCAGCGGCGCGAGCCCCCGAGCAGCGGCCGGAGCCCCCGAGCAGCGGCGCGAGCCCCCGAGCAGCGGCCCGAGCCCCCCGAGCAGCCGCCUGAGCCCCCGAGCAGCGGUGCGAGCCCCCGAGCAGCGGCCGGAGCCCCCCGAGCAGCGGCCCGAGCCCCCGAGCAGCGGCCGGAGCCGGCGGCAUGAUCCGACGGGCCGGGGCGGCCGCGCGCGGGGGCCCCGCGGGGUAAGUCCGGGGAGCGCCCGUCUGCCUGCGGCCCCGGGCGGGGGGCGGGGGGCGGGGGGCGGCGUCGGGGCGGGACCCGGGCGGCGGCGGGACCCGGACGCGUGGCCGGCGGGGAAGCCUGGACGGCCCGGCUCGCGCACGGGGGCGGCUGGGAGGGCGCCCCGACCCCGGCCCCGACCCCGGCCCCGACCCCGGCCCCGACCCCGGCCCCGGCCCCGCCCCGAGCCGCCGAGCCGCAGAAGCCGCCCCCCGGGGCCGCGUCCCGCCAGCCCCCGGCACCGCCGCGCCCGCGCCCCGCGGGAUCCCCGCCCUCGGGCCGCCCGGGGACGCCCACCCGCGGGGACGCCGGGGUCGGGGCGCGGGGGCCCUCGGGAGCGCGAGGCCGCGGCCCUGCGCCUGAAGCCCCACUCGCUCGGGAACCGGCUUUCGGGAGGGGCUCGGGGCCGCGGCUUGGGGCGAGCCCCCGGCCCGGAACCCGAACUCGCUUCUGGGCGAGGCUCAGGGCUGCGCCCCCCGCCCCGCGCCCCGCGCCCCGCGCCCCGCCCCGCGCCGGGAGAGCUUCCCCAGGUGCCGGCCGCCCCGGUUCUGCAGGCGGACUCUCGGGAAAGCCUCGGAGAGCCCUUCUGGGUGCCAAGGCCUAGGGGCGCCCCCCCCCCCCCGCCCGGCUGCCGUCCCCGGCUUUCUGGCUUAAAAACCCCGGGGGCCUCCUCCCGCCGCCGCCCGGCCUAG
rnacentral:lncRNA from 1 species